rnacentral:rRNA from 1 species
AGGAUGAACGCUGGCGGUGUGCCUAAUACAUGCAAGUCGUACGGAAAGGCCCUUCGGGGUACUCGAGUGGCGGACGGCUGAGUAACGCGUGGGAACGUACCCUAAAGUGAGGAAUAACUGCCCGAAAGGGUGGCUAAUGCCGCAUAUGCUCUUCGGAGUAAAGCUUCGGCGCUUUGGGAGCGGCCCGCGUCCGAUUAGCUUGUUGGUAAGGUAAUGGCUUACCAAGGCGACGAUCGGUAGCUGGUCUGAGAGGAUGAUCAGCCAGACUGGGACUGAGAACGGCCCAGACUCCUACGGGAGGCAGCAGUAGGGAAUUUUCCACAAUGGGCGAAAGCCUGAUGGAGCAACGACGCGUGCAGGACGAAGGCCCUCGGGUCGUAAACUGCUUUUAUUGUGACGAUUAUGACGGUAGCAGAUGAAUAAGGAUCGGCUAACUCCGACGCCAGCAGCCGC